rnacentral:snoRNA from 1 species
UGAUGCCACGAAAUGACAUUAUUCAAAAGCACAGUUUGAUCUGAUA